CACGUAGGGGGCGAGCGUUGUCCGGAUUUAUUGGGCGUAAAGAGCUCGUAGGCGGCUCAGUAAGUCAGGUGUGAAAACUCCAGGCUCAACCUGGAGACGCCACUUGAUACUGCUGUGGCUAGAGUCCGGUAGGGGAGCAUGGAAUUCCUGGUGUAGCGGUGAAAUGCGCAGAUAUCAGGAGGAACACCGGUGGCGAAGGCGGGUCUCUGGGCAACAACUGACGCUGAGGAGCGAAAGCGUGGGGAGCGAACAGG
rnacentral:rRNA from 1 species